rnacentral:rRNA from 1 species
GCUGGCGGCAUGCUUAACACAUGCAAGUCGAACGAAGGCCCGGGGCUUGCCCCGGAUCCCUUAGUGGCGAACGGGUGAGUAACGCGUGGGAAUCUACCUAAGAAUGGGGAAUAACUAUUGGAAACGAUAGCUAAUACCGCAUAAUCCCUUCGGGGCAAAGGCUUCGGCCGUUUUUAGAUGAGCCCGCGUUAGAUUAGGUUGUUGGUGAGGUAAUGGCUCACCAAACCUGCAAUCUAUAGCUGGUCUGAGAGGAUGAUCAGCCACACUGGGACUGAGACACGGCCCAGACUCCUACGGGAGGCAGCAGUGGGGAAUAUUGGACAAUGGGGGAAACCCUGAUCCAGCAAUGCCGCGUGAGUGAUGAAGGCCCUAGGGUUGUAAAACUCUUUCAGAAGUGAAGAUGAUGACUGUAACUUCAGAAGAAGCUCCGGCUAACUCCGUGCCAGCAGCCGCGGUAAUACGGAGGGAGCUAGCGUUGUUCGGAAUUACUGGGCGUAAAGGGCGUGCAGGCUGUUAGAUUAGUCAGGGGUGAAAUCCCUAAGCUCAACUUAGGAACUGCCUUUGAUACUGUCUAACUAGAGAUCGAGAGAAGUUGGCGGAAUUCCAAGUGUAGAGGUGAAAUUCGUAGAUAUUUGGAAGAACACCAGUGGCGAAAGCGGCCAACUGGCUCGCAUCUGACGCUGAGACGCGAAAGCGUGGGUAGCAAACAGGAUUAGAUACCCUGGUAGUCCACGCUGUAAACGAUGAGUGCUAGCCGUUUGUGAUUUAUCACAAGUGGUGCAGCUAACGCAUUAAGCACUCCGCCUGGGG